GUUGUAGUUAUUUAUACAGAUUUAAUUUGGUGGGGAAGAGUAAAGACUAAGUCAGAUUUUCUUCGUUAAAUUCAAUUUAGAUUACUAUUCUUUAAAUUCAAUUUGGAUUACUAUUCUUUAAAUUUAAUUUGGAUUACUAUUCUUAAAUAUAAUUACAUUUAGCUGGUUUGUUAGUUGUAUUGUUGAUUUGAUAACUCUAGGGGCGUCAUCAGUCGCUGUCAUCCAGUCUUCAGUGGCCCGGAGGGGAAGACAGAAGAAGGCGCUGCUGUCGAUGCUCUUAUUUGUAGCUAUGUCCAGGUUGUAAGUACUCCGUGGAUCCAGGAGAGAGGCUAGUCUGAGACUUGCUAUUUAUUCAUAGGCACCCUUUAUUUUCUGGCUUUUGCUUACUUUGUUUCUUUCCAUAGUGUUCGUCUUUAUUUAGAAUUUCUUAUAUCGUGAUUGUUUAUUUAUUUGCUUUGCUUGAUUUUUUUUGAGAUUUUUAUUUAUUGUUGGUUUUAUUAGUAAGAAUAUUAAUUUAUUAUUAGCUUGCUAUGGGCUUUAACUUUGUUUAUAUUUAAGUUUUUGGAUUUAUUAUUAUUAUUUAUUUAUUUUUUGUUUGUUAGAUUUGACUGCAAGAUUCACUCAGUAGCGUGUAUAGCGAGGUGGGUAUAUUAUUGAAAUAUCGUGUAUUAGUUAUAAGUUUAUUUAUUUGUUUUGUCUAUCCAUUUUAACAUUUGUUUUAUUUAUUAAUUUAUUGUUAAGUGUUUUUAUUAUUUGCUUUGUUAAAUCGAUUAUUUAUUUAUAAUUAUGGUUGUUUAGCGUAUUUAUUUUGUUUUUACUUAGGGUUUUGCACUUUUAUUAGAAAGUUUUGUUGCGAGUGUUGCAUAUGUAAUUAGAAGUUUAGCCCGUUUUGUUUUGUUGCUUGUGUUUUUAGUCUUUAUUUGCAGCAGGAAUUAGUUGAGGCGGCCAUGUUGUAAGAUUGGUAAGUACAUAUUUGUUUUCAUCGUUUACUUGCAUAUUUAUUAUAUUAAGUAUCAUUAAAAGUUGUCGGCAGGAGUAGUUCAACUGCAUGUAUUGCGGUGAUUUAUUUAUUGGAGUAGUUCAACUGCAUGUAUUGCGAUGAUUUAUUUUAUUGGAUCGUAGAAUUAUUUGUGUUCGCGCGCGGUAUUUGUUAAAUUUGUGCUAGCGUAGCUUGCGCGUCAAUUUAUCUUUGAGUAGGGUUGCUUACUUUAUCAUUAUCGAGUUUUAGUAUUUUGUACAAUUUUAUCGUUAUCGAAUUUUAAACAUUUUGUGUAUUUUCAGCUUUGUUCUUAUUUGGUGGUUGGAUUCGUUUGGUAAGUAGUUUCAAUUUAUUAGGAUUCAGGAAUUAAUUAUUGUUUGGUGGCACCAGAGAGGACAGCCAAGUUGAUGAUGGAUGGAUAAGACGUGGAAAGUUACCAAGUCUGAUUUUAUAGUAUAUAAAUAGGUUAUUUGUUAUUCUUAGGUUAUUGUUUUGUUUGUAGAAUU